ensembl:snRNA U4 U4 spliceosomal RNA
AGCUUUGCGCAGUGGCAGUAUCGUAGCCUAUGAGGUUUAUCCGAGGCGUGAUUAUUGCUGGUUGAAAACUUUACCCAAUACCCCGCCUAGACGACUUGAAAUAUAGUCGGCGACGGCAAUUUUUGACGGUCUCUAAGGAGA